AAAAGUGGUCGAUUGCCCUCCAGGGAUUGCAUUUCUCAAACAACUCCCUCAUAAAAACUGUGUAAACCCUUGGUCUUUGACUCCCUGACCAAUUGCUGACCUGUGAAACAACUCUUGAAAUCUGGAGCUCUGCCUCUUGGACACAUACUUUUGCUGUACACACCCAGCCUGUGAUGCUAUCAGCCACGUGGGGACCGGGCCAGGGGUGGAGAGGCUACAUUUACCAACACUGUUCCCACAGAGGCCGCGGGCCGCCAUCAGGCUCCGCUGGGACCUGUGAGUGCGAAUAUCCACGUCUACUUUUCUUGCUGACCCUCAGCUGAUUGGUACCGUAUGUUAAGAGCAAUAUGCCAAAGCAUGGUUUCAACAUUGCGAUAGCUGCCGUUCGCCACCUGGAGAACACGUCACUUGGCAAACAGGCAGCAGAGAACCGUAUUCACAAAUAGAUAAACGAAAGUUAACAUCGGGGUCAGUAUUGCAUAAAAUUCCAGCCAGCAUGAUUUUAGAUUUCCGUUUUCACUUUGGUAUUUGAAGGUGACGUAGUAUCUGUCCAUUGACUUAUGGCAGGUAAUUUGGGCAUUGGUGACAUGUUCUUCAGACUUAUCAGUAGCCAAUGUUUGUUUUGCGAGUUGAAAAGACCGAUGCCCUUCGUGAUCUUUGAUUGGAGCGUUCUUCACACUUCACAGCACAUUUAAGGCCGGGGUAAGCUGAGCUGGUCUUCGUUCAAUAGGGCUCUGUGUAAGAACACUUGCUGCCUUUUUCAGGGUAGUCACUCUAUACCAGCGCAGUGGGAAUCCCACUGUUAACCGGCCUGUGUUUAUCCUGUUCAUUACCACUUUGCACUUAACCCACAUAACCGCCUGACGUCCCGUACAUGCCCUGACACACAGAAUUAUUUACUACAUAAUUGCAUAGGGAUGACUUUUUGUUCUGUAAUAGAAUAGUGACUAAAGAUGAUUUACAUAGUAGCUCUAAAAGGAAUUUGGACAAUCUAAGCCACUCAUAAGCCAGAUGUCAUAAGAAAUCAACAUGUACUGGAAAACUUUAAAGAACGACAACACAAGUUUAUUUCUCAAGUAAAACAUUUCCCAAGAUGAAGUUUUUUUAAUUACCUGGAUAUUUCAUGAUAUUGUGUCUAUAGUUGAAGUGAUGGACAAUUCCAGUUUCAUGGCAGUUAAUGACAGUCACAAAAUGUAUAAUCUAUUUAUUCGUGUUCAUGACACGAAUUAACCCCUUUAAUAUACUAUACAUAUGUGACCCCGGACAACAAAACCAGUCUUAAGUAACAAAAAAACAUUGUAUGGGUCAAAAUUAUAGAUUUUUCUGUCCCAAAUCAUUAGGUAUAUAUUAAGUAAUCAUGUUUCUUGUUCCAUGAAGAUAGUUUGUAAAUUUCCUACCUUAAGUAUAUAAAAACUUUACUUUUGGGAGUGGAUGGCCUGCCACAGUGCCUCUGAUUAACAAUUUCAAAAGCAAUUUUCUCAAUAUUUAGAUUUUUUUGCAGCCUCAGAUUCGUGAGUUUUAAACGGAUGUAUCCAAGCCAGAUAUUGUCCUAUUCGAACAACUGAUACAUCAUUAGAAAGCUUAUUUAUUCAGCUUUCAGAUUAUGUAACAAUCUAAAUUUCGAAAAGUUGACCCAUAAGACUGGUUUUAUUGUCCAGGGUCACAUAUAGCUUUUUUAUAGAUAAUACAUAUAUUCUUAACUCACUGCAAUUCCUGCGUAUUUGACAAGGUGGCUAGGAAACGAUAAAGGCCCACCCCUUACCCUAACGUUAUGUGGGCAAAAUUAUACUAAAACGUAGGAAUGAGAUUGGAUGAAUUCAUAGGAAUUAGCCACCUCAUAAAAUACGUACGAAUUCCUGUAAAAGUUAAUAUCUACAUAUGAAAGAAUAAAAUACAUUGGAUAAGAAGUCUUUUCUGAGUGACAUGAAAAAGUCUUACUGAGUGACACAAAGAAAUCGUAUUUAGUGACAUGAAGAAAAUGGGAAAUUUCUGUCCAUGAACACGAAACAAUAGCAUAUAAAUUUAUCACAAAUUCCUGUGGGACUAGUUAGCAAUGCAAUCUAUUUUAAAAAGUGGCUACGUAAGAAUUCGUUAAAUCUAACAUCAAGUUCCCAAAAAAGUCACCGGUGCAAAAGCAGUUUGUAUUACCACGUGAAAACUAAUUUAUAGGUAUAUGAAUUAGUCUUCCUGUAAAAUUGUUUCAAAUUAGCAUGAGAAUGUUUCAAACAUUUAAGUUAAGUCAACAUCUUACAGACAUCUUUUAGAUGUAUAUUUGAAUAUGUCUUGCAGAUGCAAAUCCAGACAUCAAAUAGACAACUCCCAAAUGUUUGUGUGUUAUCAGGGGUAUAUAUGCAAAUGUAUAUCCAAACUUUUAUGCCUAGAGUAUAUCUUUCAGAAACAGACAUUUUUUUUUAAAACAAUCAGUCUCAUUUAUAACAUCAUACAAGUUGCUAAACAGAAUGAGCUGUAUUUCCUGUUCUGUAUCUCCCUUUGCCAGAGGAGUACCUCAUUGCCUUCCAGAGGUUUGGCCAUGUGACCCCCUCCCCAUAGAAGUGGACAUCCUAUUCCAGCUGUCUGACCUGUCUGAUCCAAGAAGCAUGCCUGCAGCAUCCCUGGUGACCCCUGCUGAUGUUAUCAUGACCCGGUUACAAGUGGCUGCCCCGUGCAGGCCAGACCACGAACACAAUGGACUCAUUGACAGUUUCUGGAAGAAUCUUCUGGAAAAGGGACCUCGUGCCUUCAAAGAACUGGAGCUUUAUAUACCAUGUUUUGCGGCAUCAAACUGAUGCUGAAAAUACCCAAAUGCUGUCAUUUCAUUCCAUGAUUCAGGCUAAAAUGGCAAGAGGACACCCCAAAAUAGGGUCUGUGUCCUCAAUGGAAAGGUUUAAAAAAGGAGGCCGUUCUGGUCUAUUCAUUUAUUUUAUGUUCCACAAUUUGAAGAGGAAAAUAUUCGUUUUUACUUUGCAGUCAAGCUGUUUAUUCUAUCUGACAGGACGCAGCAGAACGUGAAGGUUCUCCUCUUCCACCUUACUCAUACAUCUCCGUCUCUCCUUACCACAGAAAACCAGCUGGCUCUGAGCCCACUCCCAAGUCUCGGAUCAGCCUCCCGGCGCCCAAUCCUGACCACAUUGGUGGCUUCAGGUUGGCUGUGGCAACAUUUGCUGGCAUCGAGAAUAAAUUUGGACUGCAUCUACCACGAUUCCAAAUGACUGCCAUCCCCACGUCACACCACGCUUUAUGCUUCGUCGUGGGACUGUCCAUACCAUGUGCUACUAGAAUCAAUAUUUAUGACUGAGAAUAUAAUACAAAACCGUCAGCAGCUGAUCUGGAAAUGAUGUUGUGUGUUUAUUAGUGCAAACUACAGCUCAUACAAAAUGUUUGGCUACUUUCUAACAGAACGUUUAAAAGUGUUGAGAAGCAUUGUGGUGUGAUUUAUUUAAAUGUAAAUCAAAUAUUUAUUUGUUUCUUGUGUUUAUUUGUUCGCUUUAAGUUUCAUUUACCUUAAACAACCUAAUUGUUUACAUGUUUUUACAUACAGUACAACACUGCAUGAGCACAUUCUGUACUGCUUGCAAGGGCCCUUUAUGUCUCUUUCAUUACAGAUGUAGAAAAUAACAUUUGAAUGUAAUACCGUUUUUCAUUGUCUUGUUUCAUU